rnacentral:lncRNA from 1 species
UCCGCCUGCUUACUGGAGCUACCCGGGUGUUUCACCGGGGACAUGGAACAGCAUCGCCUGGAUGCCACAACCCACUUCACCAUCUGCUGGGUCCGGUCCAAACUCUCCAACACUUGGUAAACAUUCACGCGACGAGAGCAUUGCUGAGCCAGGGACCGUUCUUGAAGAAACCGAGUCACCACUUGGUAGAGAGAAAAGCAAACCCGAGAUGAACCGGGAACCGUUCUUGAAGAAACCGAGUCACCACUUGGUAGAGAGAAAAGCAAAUCCGAGAGAUGCCUUUGGGUUCCCAAGACGCUGAGGAUCGAUGAUCCAGAGGAAGCCGCUAAAAGUUCGAUAUGGGAGACACUAGGG